GACGAACGCUGGCGGCGUGCUUAACACAUGCCAGUCGAACGGAAAGGCCCUGCUUUUGUGGGGUGCUCGAGUGGCGAACGGGUGAGUAACACGUGAGUAACCUGCCCUUGACUUUGGGAUAACUUCAGGAAACUGGGGCUAAUACCGGAUAGGAGCUCCUGCUGCAUGGUGGGGGUUGGAAAGUUUCGGCGGUUGGGGAUGGACUCGCGGCUUAUCAGCUUGUUGGUGGGGUAGUGGCUUACCAAGGCUUUGACGGGUAGCCGGCCUGAGAGGGUGACCGGACACAUUGGGACUGAGGUACGGCCCAGACUCCUACGGGAGGCAGCAGUGGGGAAUAUUGCACAAUGAGCGGAAGCCUGAUGCAGCAACGCCGCGUGCGGGAUGACGGCCUUCGGGUUGUAAACCGCUUUCGCCUGUGACGAAGCGUGAGUGACGGUAAUGGGUAAAGAAGCACCGGCUAACUACGUG
rnacentral:rRNA from 1 species